rnacentral:lncRNA from 1 species
AUUAUUAGGAACGGAUAUCAAUGCCGUUUCUAAAAAGUCAACGAGGCGACUUUCAGGGACGGGGUAGGGACGACCAUUUUCCAUCGCUAAUUAGCAAUUAGCGAUGGCUUUUGAUCAUUAGGGAUGGAUUCCGGCCGUCCUUAAUUAAAGAUCAUUUUUUCUUGUAGUGAUUGAUUCUGUUAUGAGGUAGCUAAGUUGACGUACCGACUUAUGGCGUCACCUUCUAAAGUUCUUCUGAACAUUCUACACGAUAUAUCUCUUUUGUCAGUUAUGUUUUCCAUGUUGAAUAAAAAUUUAUGAACAUCGUUCACUGGGUAAGAAUUUCCUUUGUACUGAGGUAGUUUGGG